rnacentral:misc_RNA from 1 species
GAUGAAGAACGUAGCGAAAUGCGAUAAGUAGUGUGAACUGCAGAAUUCAGUGAAUCAUCGAAUCUUUGAACGCACAUUGCGCCCCAUGGUAUUCCGUGGGGCAUGCCUGUUCGAGCGUCAUUUACCCCCUCAAGCUCCGCUUGGUGUUGGGCGUCUGUCCCGCUUCGCGCGCGGACUCGCCCCAAAGGUAUUGGCAGCGGUCGUGCCAGCUUCUCGCGCAGCACAUUGCGCUUCUCGAGGCACCGGUGGGCCCGCGUCCAUCAAGCUCACCCCCCCAGUUUGACCUCGGAUCAGGUAGGGAUACCCGCUGAACUUAAGCAUAUCAAUAAGCGGAGGA